rnacentral:rRNA from 1 species
AUACAGAGAGUGCAAGCGUUAAUCGGAAUAACUGGGCGUAAAGCGCACGUAGGUGGACAUUUAAGUCGGAUGUGAAAGCCCUAGGCUUAACCUAGGAACUGCAUCCGAUACUGGAUGUCUAGAGUAUAGUAGAGGGAAGUGGAAUUUCCGGUGUAGCGGUGAAAUGCGUAGAUAUCGGAAAGAACACCAGUGGCGAAGGCGGCUUCCUGGACUAAUACUGACACUGAGGUGCGAAAGCGUGGGGAGCAAACAGGAUUAGAAACCCGGGUAGUCC